rnacentral:rRNA from 1 species
GUUUCAGCCGCCGCGGUAAUACAGAGGGUGCAAGCGUUAAUCGGAAUUACUGGGCGUAAAGCGCGCGUAGGCGGUUGUGUAAGUUGGAUGUGAAAGCCCCGGGCUCAACCUGGGAAUGGCAUUCAAAACUGCACGGCUAGAGUAUUGGAGAGGAAGGUAGAAUUCCAGGUGUAGCGGUGAAAUGCGUAGAGAUCUGGAGGAAUACCGAUGGCGAAGGCAGCCUUCUGGCCAAAUACUGACGCUGAGGUGCGAAAGCAUGGGGAGCAAACAGGAUUAGAAACCCCUGUAGUCC